rnacentral:rRNA from 1 species
AUUGAACGCUGGCGGCAUGCCUUACACAUGCAAGUCGAACGGCAGCACGGGAGCAAUCCUGGUGGCGAGUGGCGAACGGGUGUGUAAUAUAUCGGAACGUGCCCUGUCGUGGGGGAUAACGCAGCGAAAGCUGUGCUAAUACCGCAUACGAUCUACGGAUGAAAGCGGGGGAUCGCAAGACCCCGCGCGAUUGGAGCGGCCGAUAACAGAUUAGCUAGUUGGGGAGGUAAAGGCUCACCAAGGCGACGAUCUGUAUCUGGUCUGAGAGGACGACCAGCCACACUGGAACUGAGACACGGUCCAGACUCCUACGGGAGGCAGCAGUUGGGAAUCUUGGACAAUGGGCGAAAGCCUGAUCCAGCAAUGCCGCGUGCAGGAUGAAGGCCUUCGGGUUGUAAACUGCUUUUGUACGGAACGAAACGGUGAGCUCUAAUACAUUUUGCUAAUGACGGUACCGUAAGAAUAAGCACCGGCUAACUACGUGCCAGCCGCCGCCGUAAUAC